rnacentral:tRNA from 3 species
GGGCUACUAGCUCAGGUGGUAGAGCACUUGACUUUUAAUCAAGUUGUCGCGGGUUCGAGUCCCGCGUGGCUCA